rnacentral:rRNA from 1 species
UACGAAGGGGGCUAGCGUUGCUCGGAAUCACUGGGCAGUAAAGCGCACGUAGGCGGAUUGUUAAGUCAGGGGUGAAAUCCUGGAGCUCAACUCCAGAACUGCCUUUGAUACUGGCGAUCUCGAGUCCGGGAGAGGUGAGUGGAACUGCGAGUGUAGAGGUGAAAUUCGUAGAUAUUCGCAAGAACACCAGUGGCGAAGGCGGCUCACUGGCCCGGUACUGACGCUGAGGUGCGAAAGCGUGGGGAGCAAACAGG